rnacentral:misc_RNA from 1 species
UAGUCUUCCAGAGCCCAGGGAAACGCCCCUGACUCCCAGAGACAUGAUUUUUCAUAGUUUCCUCAUUUCUCUGGGCUUCUGGUUUUGUUUCUGUAAAUCACCUCAGA